CGGGCGUCUUAACAUGCAAGUCGAGCGGAGUUUAUCCUUCGGGAUAAGCUUAGCGGCGGACGGGUGAGUAACACGUAGGCAACCUGCCCCUUAGCCUGGAAUAACUACCGGAAACGGUAGCUAAUACCGGAUAAUCCCUUUCCUCGCCUGAGGAAAGGAUAAAAGGCGGAGCAAUCUGCUGAUAAGGGAUGGGCCUGCGGCGCAUUAGCUAGUUGGUGGGGUAACGGCUCACCAAGGCGACGAUGCGUAGCCGACCUGAGAGGGUGAACGGCCACACUGGGACUGAGACACGGCCCAGACUCCUACGGGAGGCAGCAGUAAGGGAAUCUUCCGCAAUGGGCGAAAGCCUGACGGAGCAACGCCGCGUGAGUGAUGAAGGUUUUCGGAUCGUAAAGCUCUGUUGCCAGGGAAGAACGUCUGGUAGAGUAACUGCUGCCGGAGUGACGGUACCUGAGAAGAAAGCCCGGCUAACUACA
rnacentral:rRNA from 1 species